AGGGUUUGAUUAUGGCUCAGGAUGAACGCUGGCGGCGUGCUUAACACAUGCAAGUCGAACGAAGAGUUAUUAAAUGAGAGCUUCGGCAGGAAUUUAAUAAAUCUUAGUGGCGGACGGGUGAGUAACGUGUGGGCAACCUGCCUUAUACUGGGGAAUAAUCACUGGAAACGGUGACUAAUACCGCAUAAUGUCUUUUUACGGCAUCGUAGAAAGAAGAAAGGAGCAAUCCGGUAAAAGAUGGGCCCGCAUCUGAUUAGCUAGUUGGUGAGAUAACAGCCCACCAAGGCGACGAUCAGUAGCCGACCUGAGAGGGUGAUCGGCCACAUUGGGACUGAGACACGGCCCAA
rnacentral:rRNA from 1 species